rnacentral:rRNA from 1 species
GAAUAUUGGACAAUGGGGGGAACCCUGAUCCAGCCAUGCCGCGUGUGUGAAGAAGGCCUUUUGGUUGUAAAGCACUUUAAGCGAGGAGGAGGCUACUCUAGUUAAUACCUAGGGAUAGUGGACUUUACUCGCAGAAUAAGCACCGGCUAACUCUGUGCCAGCAGCCGCGGGAAUACAGAGGGUGCGAGGGGUAAUCGGAGUUACUGGGCGUAAAGCGUGCGUAGGCGGGCAAUUAAGUAAAAUGUGAAAUCCCCGAGCUUAACUUGGGAAUUGCAUUCGAUACUGGUUGGCUAGAGUAUGGGAGAGGAUGGUAGAAUUCCAGGUGUAGCGGUGAAAUGCGUAGAGAUCUGGAGGAAUACCGAUGGCGAAGGCAGCCAUCUGGCCUAAUACUGACGCUGAGGUACGAAAGCAUGGGGAGCAAACAG